AUGGUGAUACCAUGUUGAUUGACGGACAGCUUCCCUCUCACAGAAGAGCAAAGCUGGCAACUGCCUGUGGGUGGGCCUAAAGAAAGAUGUGUUCUGCCUCCCCUUGUAAGAAUUUCAGUUUAGAAACCUGAAAUACUGUUUGAAACACAAGUCUCCAGAUGAUAAUUACAGGCUUUGAGCAGAGGAAAGAGUAGUGAAGAAAUCCAGAGCUCUGUAAACAUUUCUGAAGAACGGUGUCAAAUGUAUGCAGAAGUUCAGAUGGCUCCCAAUCCAGCAAAGGGAUAUUUCUUUGCUCAUGAAUGACAGUAUUCCCUGGCAUUCCAGUUCAAUAAUAUCUGC
rnacentral:lncRNA from 1 species